rnacentral:piRNA from 1 species
UGACCCCACUUGAACUGCUUGUGAACUGC